UGCGUAGGCGGUCAGGCAAGUCAGAUGUGAAAUCCCCGGGCUUAACUCGGGUGGUGCAUUUGAAACUGCUUGACUUGAGUGCAGGAGAGGAAAGCGGAAUUCCUAGUGUAGGGGUAAAAUCCUUAGAUAUUGGCAGGAACGCCGGUGACGAAGGUGGUUUUCUGGGCCGGUUCUGACACUGAUGCUCGAAAGCCAGGGGAGCGAACG
rnacentral:rRNA from 1 species